rnacentral:rRNA from 1 species
AUGAAAAAAAGAUUUUGGCCGGGGAAUCCUUGUUGUUCCUUCUGUGAUCAAUUGGAAACAACACAACACUUGCUAUUUUUAUGCCCUGUAGCUAGAGUGGUGUGGAGAACUGUAGGAUCUCUACUUGGGACUGAUUGUUGUCCUAAUUCUGUUUGGCAAUACUAUGUGUGGGUUUAUAGUUUCUUACCUGGCUCUGAUCACACCAUUGACCUGGCAGCUAUAUGCUGGGCUAUCUGGUUGGCUUGGAACCGGGCCACCUUUGAAUACAAAUGGAUUAACUCUCCUUUUGAGAUUGUGUUCAUAGCUUGUGCUUUUUUGAUAUACUGGGCAGGCCUCCAGAAACCUGAGAUGGAAGAAAUGGUAAAGAAGGGCGCGGAGAUGCUGAAAGAGAACACAACACAGAUGAUGCUGCUUUGCGGCCCUCCGGCUCCGACCAUGGACGGGUGCGAUGGGAGUUAA